ensembl:lncRNA
AAGCAAAUUUCUGGACACUGAUAAACUACAAAAUUAAAACCAGGAUCAACGUAGCUUUGUCUAGACUACUCCGGGCAGUGAAGUUCCAAGUUUGCAGACUGAACUGCCCAGUUAAUUGCUCUGACCUGCACCUCCUUUUGGUUUAUAGAGACAUGGCUUCUCAAUAUUAAAACCUAUAAACAAUUGCUUUCCCACCUGAAGGCUGAAAUGACAAUGGAAAACCACAUCUGGCAAAGAGUUUGAUCUUUGGCUCAAGGGAUUAGAUUGAGUCUAGUGGAGUAAAUUUUACAGCCUAGAGAAUUAUGUAUUUUCAAAUCGCUCCAGCUUUGUAAAGCUGCAAUCUCCACCAAGAUUCUCUGUGUGUGAAAGAGCAAGAAAGGCCACCUGGGUCUUUACAUGGGAUUCACCUGGAGUUUUUACCUGCCCACAUAAUUCCCAUUUUCAAGAUAAAAAGUCGACCUAAUAAGAACAUUUCUUGCCUUUUAUCAUUAUUCAUCAUUAAAUUGGUCUAGACCCUUCACACCGGAAGUAGAAACAAGAUAAGAUGGAGGCAGAGAGCCUGGGGAAAGGUCAGGGACAGGUUUAAAUAUGUCCCACUAAGCAAGGCAGUCAGUGUUCCUGCUAUCAAGCUAUUCAGUACUAUGCCAGCUGUCACCCACUACGGCAUUACCCUGGCUGCACCCUUCUUCUGCUCAGGGAAAAUGUCCAAAGGAAUCUUCAACCCUACAGAAGAGUGAGAAGACUUCUGGGACAGUAGCUGUGACUUUGUUGCUGCUGUUAUUCAGUCACUCAAUAGACUACACUGCACCUGUACCAGACACAGUGACUUCAGAGAAGACACCUGAAGUCCUGUCCCUCAAGACUCCGGGAGAGAUGACAUGUGACUGCGUUCUCAUACAAAGUGCCAACUUCUUUAGGCCUAGACAAAAGCACCCAGAGGGGAGCCAAAGAAGGUUUCCAAGAGGAGGCAGUCUCUUACAGGCUUAGUUGUGAUCAUGAGGGCGGAGCCCCCCUCCCCCACCAUGGAAUUAGUGCCCUUCUAAGAAGAGGAAGAGAUAUCAGAGAUACAAGGAGGAGGCAGACACCUGCAAUCCAGGAAGAGAGCUCUCACCAAGAAAUGAAUACUUGCACCUUGAUCUUGGACUUCCAAGCCUAUGGUAUUUUAUUACAGCAGCUCAUGAAGACUAAUCCAAAAGGCAUGGUGGUCUGGAGAAAUGGUGGGCCUAAGCUGAAGACAGCUGCAAUGUUUAAGAACAAAGCCAGAAAUCAGAAUACAUCCUUCUCUCCAAUAAGAAGGGACCUUCAUGUCCUGGAAAUGCCCAGGCUGUGCAUAUUUGGAUGAAUAAGAAGAGAAGAUGGCAUGUGAGGGCUUCCCGGUCAAAUUCCCAACCUUACAUUCAGAUCUGUUGCCUUGAUUUAUGCAUUUUGUUUUCACUUCUGAUAUAUACCUGGGGAAUCAUGUUUGGAAGCUGAUCUGCAGAAAAGGAAUUCAAUUAGAAACAAAGACCAUCAUGGCCAACUACCCUAGUUCACCCUACUAAAAAGUCCCCCAUCCUGAGAGCCCCUCAGUCCCAGGCCAACCAGGACUGUGGGUUUCCCUAAAGAGACAUAAUAAAAUGCUACAAAAGACUGUGAGUCAACAUUUAUGAAUUUCAUAGCAGAUAGAUAUGAUUUUUAACUAGGAGAAAAUGAGGUGAUGAUUUUUCUUCUAUGUAAUUUUAGGGUACCAUACAUGAGGCAACAUAUAAUGCAUGUUUCCUUUAAUAAAGCCCAACAUGUUGACCUGUGAAAGACAAAAGGCAGGAAAUUAAUAAAAAUAGUAACAACUAACAUAUUGGGCUUUAUCAUAGGCUGGACACUGUUCUAAAAGCUCUGUGUGUGUGUGUGUGUGUGUGUGUGUGCGCGCGCGCACACGCUCACUAAAAGCUUUACGAAAAUUAAAUCAUUCAAUCCUCAAAACACCCUUAUUACAAUCAUCCACAUUUUACAAAUGAGAAAAUGGAGACAUAGGUCAUAUACAAAAGAAAUGGAACUGGG